GAGGGGGUUGGUGUUGUUCCUUGGAGGCAAAAGCACCCCAACAAUCAUGCUGGGGAGCUGUUACCCACUUUUUCAGCUGCAGCCAGCCAUGCUGGGGACACGUGGCCAGGAGAGGGACAAAGCCUGCCCUUUGUGAGCUCUUGAAGCCCAUCCUUCCAUAAAUCCUGCUAAAGAGAUGAGCAAAAGGCACCGUCGGAACGAGCUGAAUUCCAUGAGUUAUUUCUGUCUGCACACUGUUACCAGUGUGCAACUGCAGCCCAGGGAUGCUCUUGCACAGGCUCUGCACUGGUGUCAGAAAAGAGGAGAAGCCCUUUGUCAUCACUGCAUUUUAUGCAAAUUAAUAUUAGAAUAAAUAAUACAACAAGGAAAGAAACUAUU